rnacentral:rRNA from 1 species
GGGACAACAUUUGGAAACUAAUGCUUAUACCGCACAACAACUUUAAACACACGUUUUAAGUUUGAAAGAUGCAAUUGCAUCGCUCGCAGAUGAUCCCGCGUUGUAUUAGCUAGUUGGUGAGGUAAAGGCUCACCUAGGCGAUGAUACAUACCCCACCUGAGAGGGUGAUCGGCCACAUUGGGACUGAGACACGGCCCAAACUCCUACGGGAGGCAUCACUAUGGAAUCUUCGGCAAUGGACGAAAGUCUGACCGAUCAACGCCGCGUGAGUGAACAAGGUUUUCGGAUCGUAAAACUCUGUUGGUAGAGAAGAACGUUGGUGAGAGUGGAAAGCUCAUCCUGUGACGGUAACUACCCACAACGGGACGGCUAACUACGUGCCAGCUUCCGCGGUUAUACGUACGUCCCGAGCGUUGUCCGGAUUUAUUAAGCGUUAAGCGAGCGCAAGUGGUUUAUUACGUCCGGUGUAACAGGCAGUGACUCAACCAUUGUAUGCAUUGGAAACUGGUGCACUUGAGUGCAGGAGAUGAGAGUGGAAUUCCAUGUGUAGCGGUGAAAUGCGUCUAUUAUGGAGGAACACCGGUGGCGAAUGCGGCUCUCUUGCCUGUAACAGACACUGAGCUACAAGCGUGGGAGUGACUGGAUAGAUGCCCUGUAGUCUCGCACUAGCGAUGAGUGUUAGAUGUAGGAUCUAUAUCGU